AUGCUUGCUCCGUCAGCACAUAUACUAAAAUUGGAACGAUACAGAGAAGAUUAGCGUGGCCCCUGUGCAAGGAUGACACUCAAAUCUGAGAAGCAUUCCUUUUUUUA